rnacentral:rRNA from 1 species
AGAGUUUGAUCCUGGCUCAGAUUGAACGCUGGCGGCAUGCUUUACACAUGCAAGUCGAACGGCAGCGCGGGGAGCUUGCUCCCUGGCGGCGAGUGGCGCACGGGUGAGUAAUACAUCGGAACGUGUCUUCUAGUGGGGGAUAACUGCCCGAAAGGGCAGCUAAUACCGCAUGAGACCUGAGGGUGAAAGCGGGGGAUCGCAAGACCUCGCGCUGGAAGAGCGGCCGAUGUCCGAUUAGCUAGUUGGUGAGGUAAAGGCUCACCAAGGCGACGAUCGGUAGCUGGUCUGAGAGGACGACCAGCCACACUGGGACUGAGACACGGCCCAGACUCCUACGGGAGGCAGCAGUGGGGAAUUUUGGACAAUGGGGGCAACCCUGAUCCAGCCAUGCCGCGUGCAGGAUGACGGCCUUCGGGUUGUAAACCGCUUUUGACUGGGAGCAAGCCCUUCGGGGUGAGUGUACCUUUCGAAUAAGCACCGGCUAACUACGUGCCAGCAGCCGCGGUAAUACGUAGGGUGCAAGCGUUAUCCGGAAUUAUUGGGCGUAAAGGGCUCGUAGGCGGUUCGUCGCGUCCGGUGUGAAAGUCCAUCGCUUAACGGUGGAUCUGCGCCGGGUACGGGCGGGCUGGAGUGCGGUAGGGGAGACUGGAAUUCCCGGUGUAACGGUGGAAUGUGUAGAUAUCGGGAAGAACACCAAUGGCGAAGGCAGGUCUCUGGGCCGUUACUGACGCUGAGGAGCGAAAGCGUGGGGAGCGAACAGGAUUAGAUACCCUGGUAGUCCACGCCGUAAACGGUGGAUGCUGGAUGUGGGGCCCGUUCCACGGGUUCCGUGUCGGAGCUAACGCGUUAAGCAUCCCGCCUGGGGAGUACGGCCGCAAGGCUAAAACUCAAAGAAAUUGACGGGGGCCCGCACAAGCGGCGGAGCAUGCGGAUUAAUUCGAUGCAACGCGAAGAACCUUACCUGGGCUUGACAUGUUCCCGACAGCCGUAGAGAUAUGGCCUCCCUUCGGGGCGGGUUCACAGGUGGUGCAUGGUCGUCGUCAGCUCGUGUCGUGAGAUGUUGGGUUAAGUCCCGCAACGAGCGCAACCCU